rnacentral:rRNA from 1 species
UACCCGCUNUNAAUUAAGCAUAUCAAUAAGCGGAGGAAAAGAAACUAACAAGGAUUCCCCUAGUAACGGCGAGUGAAGAGGGAAAAGCUCAAAUUUUGAAUCUGGUGUCUUUGACUCCCGAGUUGUAAUCUAGAGAAGUGUUUUCCGUGUCGGACCGUGCACAAGUUCCCUGGAACGGGGCGUCAUAGAGGGUGAGAAUCCCGUAUAUGGCACGGACCGCCGAUGCUUUUGUGAUACACUCUCAACGAGUCGAGUUGUUUGGGAAUGCAGCUCAAAAUGGGUGGUAAAUUCCAUCUAAAGCUAAAUAUUGGCGAGAGACCGAUAGCGAACAAGUACCGUGAGGGAAAGAUGAAAAGCACUUUGGAAAGAGAGUGAAACAGUACGUGAAAUUGUUGAAAGGGAAAACGCUUGA